rnacentral:lncRNA from 1 species
AUAGAAGUUUUUUUUACUCAGUCUCUUUGUGUUGUCAAGGAUUUUUUUAAGAUUUUUUUCUUUUAUUUUUAUAUAAUAGCCGUAUAUUAAUAAUAUUUCCAUUUUACUCACAAUUUUAAUGUGUUGUCAUUAUUAUUAUUUUUUUUAGGGAAUUUGUUGUCAUUACUUUUGGUUAUUUUUCUUUAUAUAACCCCUUGAGCCAUUCAGCAAGCAAACUUUUUUCUUCUUUCUUUAAUUGUCUAGAGAGUUUUUUUUUUUUAGGAGAUGUUGUCUAGAGAGUUAGAAAAUUA